GAUGAACGCUGGCGGCGUGCCUAAUACAUGCAAGUCGAGCGAACGGACGAGAAGCUUGCUUCUCUGAUGUUAGCGGCGGACGGGUGAGUAACACGUGGAUAACCUACCUAUAAGACUGGGAUAACUUCGGAAAACCGGAGCUAAUACCGGAUAAUAUUUUGAACCGCAUGGUUCAAAAGUGAAAGACGGUCUUGCUGUCACUUAUAGAUGGAUCCGCGCUGCAUUAGCUAGUUGGUAAGGUAACGGCUUACCAAGGCAACGAUGCAUAGCCGACCUGAGAGGGGAACCGGCCACACUGAAACUGAGACACGGUCCGGACUCCUACGGAAGGCAGCGGAGGGAAUCUUCCGCAAUGGGCGAAAGCCUGACGGAGCAACGCCGCGUGAGUGAUGAAGGUCUUCGGAUCGUAAAACUCUGUUAUUAGGGAAGAACAUAUGUGUAAGUAACUGUGCACAUCUUGACGGUACCUAAUCAGAAAGCCACGGCUAGCUACGUG
rnacentral:rRNA from 1 species